rnacentral:rRNA from 1 species
ACUGCUCAGUAACACGUGGAUAACCUGCCCAAGGGUCUGGGAUAACCCCGGGAAACUGGGGAUAAUACCGGAUGGAUUACUAGUGCUGGAAUGCUUGGUGGUCGAAAGGCAACGCCUUUGGAUGGGUCUGCGGCGGAUUAGGUUGACGCCGGUGUAACGUACCGGCGUGCCUGUAAUCCGUACGGGUUGUGGGAGCAAGAGCCCGGAGAUGGAUUCUGAGACACGAAUCCAGGCCCUACGGGGCGCAGCAGGCGCGAAAACUCUACAAUGCAGGCAACUGCGAUAGGGGGACAUCGAGUGGCAUCCACCUUGGGUGCCUGUCCAACCGUCUAAAAAACGGUUGUUAGCAAGGGCCGGGUAAGACCGGUGCCAGCCGCCGCGGUAAUACCGGCGGCUCGAGUGGUGGCCGAUAUUAUUGAGUCUAAAGGGUCCGUAGCCGGCUUUGCAAGUCCCCUGGGAAAUCCAGCGGCUUAACCGUUGGGCUUUCAUGGGAUACUACAUUGCUUGGGACUGGGAGAGGUAGGAGGUACUCGGGGGGUAGGGGUGAAAUCCUGUAAUCCUCCGGGGACCACCGGUGGCGAAGGCGUCCUACCAGAACAGGUCCGACGGUGAGGGACGAAAGCUAGGGGCACGAACCGGAUUAGAUACCCGGGUAGUCCUAGCCGUAAACGAUGCCCGCUAGGUGUCACGACGGUCGUGAAUCGUCGUGGUGCCGUAGGGAAGCCGCGAAGCGGGCCACUUGGGAAGUACGGCCGCAAGGCUGAAACUUAAAGGAAUUGGCGGGGGAGCAC